rnacentral:rRNA from 1 species
CCUACGGGAGGCAGCAGUGGGGAAUCUUGCGCAAUGGGCGAAAGCCUGACGCAGCGACGCCGCGUGAGUGAUGAAGGCCUUCGGGUUGUAAAGCUCUGUGGGGAGAGAAGAAUAAGUGCGGGCUAAUACCCCGCAUGAUGACGGUAUCUCCUUAGCAAGCACCGGCUAACUCUGUGCCAGCAGCCGCGGUAAGACAGAGGGUGCAAACGUUGUUCGGAAUUACUGGGCGUAAAGCGAGUGUAGGCGGUCUGAUAAGUCGGAUGUGAAAGCCCCGGGCUCAACCCGGGAAGUGCAUUCGAUACUGUUAGGCUAGAGUAUCGGAGAGGUUGGUGGAAUUCUCGGUGUAGAGGUGAAAUUCGUAGAUAUCGAGAGGAACACCGGUGGCGAAGGCGGCCAACUGGACGAAUACUGACGCUGAGACUCGAAAGCGUGGGGAGCAAACAGGAUUAGAUACCCUUGUAGUC